rnacentral:tRNA from 1 species
GCGGGGUUAGCUCAGUUGGUUAGAGCAUGGUGCUAAUAACGCCAAGGUCACAGGUUCAAUCCCUGCUCACUGCA